UCUGUUACAUUAUAAAAUUAUAUACAGUCAUGCACACCAUAAUGACAUUUCGGCCAAGGACAGACUGCAUGUAUGACGGUGGUCCCAGAAGAUCAGCACCGUAUAGCCUAGCUGUG